UAGCUAGUUGGUGAGGUAAAAGCUCACCAAGGCGACGAUCUGUAGCGGGUCUGAGAGGAUGAUCCGCCACACUGGAACUGAGACACGGUCCAGACUCCUACGGGAGGCAGCAGUGGGGAUUUUUGGACAAUGGGGGCAACCCUGAUCCAGCCAUGCCGCGUGAGUGAAGAAGGCCUUCGGGUUGUAAAGCUCUUUCAGCCGGGAAGAAAAUGCAUGGGUUAAUACCCUGUGCAGAUGACGGUACCGGAAUAAGAAGCACCGGCUAACUACGUGCCAGCAGCCGCGGUAAUACGUAGGGUGCGAGCGUUAAUCGGAAUUACUGGGCGUAAAGCGUGCGCAGGCGGUUUUGUAAGACAGGCGUGAAAUCCCCGGGCUUAACCUGGGAACUGCGUUUGUGACUGCAAGGCUAGAGUACGGCAGAGGGGGGUGGAAUUCCACGUGUAGCAGUGAAAUGCGUAGAGAUGUGGAGGAACACCAAUGGCGAAGGCAGCCCCCUGGGUCGAUACUGACGCUCAUGCACGAAAGCGUGGGUAGCAAACAGGAUUAGAUACCCUGGUAGUCCACGCCCUAAACGAUGUCAACUAGGUGUUGGGAGGGUAAAACCUUUUAGUACCGUAGCUAACGCGAGAAGUUGACCGCCUGGGGAGUACGGCCGCAAGGUUAAAACUCAAAGGAAUUGACGGGGACCCGCACAAGCGGUGGAUGAUGUGGAUUAAUUCGAUGCAACGCGAAAAACCUUACCUACCCUUGACAUGUCAGGAACUUUCCAGAGAUGGAUUGGUGCCCGAAAGGGAACCUGAACACAGGUGCUGCAUGGCUGUCGUCAGCUCGUGUCGUGAGAUGUUGGGUUAAGUCCCGCAACGAGCGCAACCCUUGUCGUUAAUUGCCAUCAUUCAGUUGGGCACUUUAACGAGACUGCCGGUGACAAACCGGAGGAAGGUGGGGAUGACGUCAAGUCCUCAUGGCCCUUAUGGGUAGGGCUUCACACGUCAUACAAUGGUCGGUACAAGGGUCGCCAACCCGCGAGGGGGAGCCAAUCCCAUAAAGCCGAUCGUAGUCCGGAUUGUAGGCUGCAACUCGCCUGCAUGAAGUCGGAAUCGCUAGUAAUCGUGGAUCAGCAUGUCACGGUGAAUACGUUCCCGGGUCUUGUACACUCCGCCCGUCACACCAUGGGAGCGGGUUCCGCCAGAAGUAGGUAGCCUAACCGCAAGGGGGGCGCUUACCACGGCGGGGUUCGUGACUGGGGUGAAGUCGUAACAAGGUA
rnacentral:rRNA from 1 species